AAGAGUAGCCACCUGUCGAAAUUGAAGCGUUUCUAAGCCUGGCGGAGAGUAGUACUAGGAUGGGUGACCUCCUGGGAAGUCCUUGUGUUGCACCUU
rfam:Lupinus angustifolius cultivar Tanjil contig_40777, whole genome shotgun sequence.